rnacentral:rRNA from 1 species
UAACCUGCCUGGUAGCGGGGGAUAACUAUUGGAAACGAUGGCUAAUACCGCAUAAUAGCAGUUAUUGCAUGAUAACUGUUUGAAAGGUGCAAUUGCAUCACUGCCAGAUGGACCUGCGUUGUAUUAGCUAGUUGGUGGGGUAACGGCUCACCAAGGCGACGAUACAUAGCCGACCUGAGAGGGUGAUCGGCCACACUGGGACUGAGACACGGCCCAG